rnacentral:rRNA from 1 species
GACGAACGCUGGCGGCGUGCUUAACACAUGCAAGUCGAACGGUGAAGCGCCUUCCUUUUUGGUGGGUGUGGAUGAGUGGCGAACGGGUGAGUAACACGUGAGUAACCUGCCCCCUUCUUCUGGAUAACCGCAUGAAAGUGUGGCUAAUACGGGAUAUUCUGGGUCUGUCGCAUGAUGGGUCUGGGAAAGAUAUUGUUUCGGUGGGGGAUGGGCCCGCGGCCUAUCAGCUUGUUGGUGGGGGGAUGGCCUACCAAGGCGGUGACGGGUAGCCGGCCUGAGAGGGUGGACGGUCACACUGGGACUGAGACACGGCCCAGACUCCUACGGGAGGCAGCAGUGGGGAAUAUUGCACAAUGGGCGCAAGCCUGAUGCAGCGACGCCGCGUGAGGGAUGGAGGCCUUCGGGUUGUGAACCUCUUUCGCCAGUGAAGCAGGCCUGCCUCGUCUGUGGGUGGGUUGACGGUAGCUGGAGAAGAAGCGCCGGCUAACUACGUG